rnacentral:rRNA from 1 species
UUUUUAUAGAUAUAACCAUAAAUAUAAUCUGCUCAAUGAAUAUUAAAUAGCCGCAAAUUUAAUUGUGCUAAGGUAGCAUAAUCACUUGACUUAUAAUUUAAGUCUAGAAUGAAAGAUUUAACAUUUAAUUUUCUUUUUUAUAUUUAUACUUAAAUUUAUAUUAAAUAUAAAAAUAUAUUUAUAUAUAAGUUAGACAAUAAGACCCUAAUGAACUUUACUAAAUAGUUAUACUGGGGAAGUAAAUUAAUAAUUAUUUUAAUUUAAUAAUUUAAUUAAUAACCUAUUAAAAUAUUAAUUUAAGUUACCAUAGGGAUAACAGCAUAAUAAUUUUUUAUAGAUCUUAUUUAAAAAAUAGAUUAUGACCUCGAUGUUGAAUAUAAAUUCUUUUAUUAGAAAAAUAAUUUAAAGAAAAUCUGUUCGAUUUUUAAUUUUAUACA